AGAAUCUGGGGAAAAAGAGGAACUGCAGCUGGAUCGUAUUUCAGUCACUCAUGUUGAUGGUGUGUUAAUGGGUGAAGAUUCACCAUCAGCAGAAACGAAUGGCCUAACAUCUUUUAAAUAGCAACCUAAAGCAAUUUGUCAACAAUCAACAUCAAGACAAAGCUUCUCUCUUUUCUACUAAAACAGUUAAAGUAGCACGUGCAUUAUUAAUAAAACUGCAUUAUGUAUUAACGCAUAACACUUUGUCUAAG